rnacentral:SRP_RNA from 1 species
GCUGGGCGCGGUGGCGCGCGCCUGUAAUCCCAGCUACUUGGGAAGCUGAGGCAGGAGAAUUGCUUGAACCCAGGAGGCAGAGUUUUCAGUGAGCCAAGAUCACACCACUGCACUCCAGCCUGGGCAACACAGCAAGACUCUGUCUCAA